rnacentral:lncRNA from 1 species
GAGCGGGGCGGGGCGGGGCCGAGAUCACGCUGAUGCCCACAGGACCGGCACGGCGUGGGGUGCAACAAGGGGCAGCCACCCACCUAGGAAAGGGUGCACAGUGGGGGCACCCACGGGGGCAGGCACCGGAGGGGGUGCCCACAGAGGAUAGAGGACGCCGAGAAGUGACCUGGGGAGCCAUAGGAUGAGGAAGAGAGAAGAGAUGACAGCAGGGGCUGUAGGAGGUCACCCUCCACGGAGGGAGGGGUGACGGCAGAGGCGUCCGCAGGAGCUGGUACCGGUGGGGCUGCCCCCAGGGGGGGCUGACAGAGGCAGCAACUGAGCAGGCAGGGGUGGAGCGAGGUGCCAGCCUGCCGUGGAAAGGAGACGCCAGCAGCGGGGGGCCCUCCUGGGGUCCCAGUCCUGCUCUGCCCCACAGCUCAGCCCCAGCACCUCCAGCCACAACCAAGAGCAACGCCUGAUACGGGCUAAGGGUCUCUGCUCUCUGAUACACAUUCAUGUGUAAAAUAACAGAACCGCCUUGAAGUACAUCACCAUCCUAACCAAAAUGGGCUGACUACAUUAUUUCAAGUUUAGGCAUCAACCUGCCUUAACAACACUAUGGCCGGGUGUGGUGGUUUGCACCUAUAAUCCCUGCACGUUGGAGAGGCCAAGGUGGGAAGAUCGCUUGAGGCCGGGUAACACAGCGAGACUCCAUCUCUACAAAAAAAUUAAAAAUGAGCCGAGGCUAAGCACUGUUGAAAAAAUAAAGGAAAACAGACUUCACAAGGAUCUCCGUGCUGAAAGCAGCCUUCAACAGGAAGGUCCCUGGAGAAUCAGCUCCUUCCAAAAGAUCAGGGGAUGAAGACUUCAAGACCGCAACUGCUGCUGUCUCACCCCUAGGCAGGAAUGGACCACCCUCCGCCCUCCACCCUCCGCCAGCAGCCCACAGGAAGCAAGUAGAACCUGAUACCACCUCCCGCCAGUCUGUGAAUAUAUAAUCUGACUUGUAUUUUCCCUGUUUUCCCAUUUUGCAUACUUCAGAAUAAAGACAUCUGUUCAUAACACU